ACGGUCUCACCCCAGAACCUGCUCUCUCAACUCACUAUGCUAUAUUUAUGGGAUUCUUUUGGUUACAAAGAUUUGUUUGUAAGAGAAUGAAAAUGGUCGGUCAAUGAAAUUAACAAAUGGGACAGUAGCUACAAAGCCUUAUAUUACAAAGUUCUGAGAGUCAUUCCCCUUACUCCAUGACUCCUGUAUCUCUUUCUGUGAUGGUACUAGAGGCAAGUUUGAAUUUACAAUAACAAAUGCACAUUUUUUUUUGUAAUAGCUUUAUGGAGAUAGAAUUUACACACUAUAUACAUUCACUCCCUUAUAGUAAAUAAUUUAAUAUUUUAUCACAUUCAAAAUGUUGUACAGCCAUCACCAUAAUCAAUUUUAGAAUAUUUCCAUCAUUUCAAUAAGAAAUCUGUGCUCUUUAGCUAUUGUUUCCAAUCUUCCCAUCUCCCGGUCCUAGGAAAUCACUAUCCUAUUUUCUGUGGUUGUAGAUUUAUUCUGAACAUUUCAUGUAGUUGGAAUUUAGCAUUAUAUUUUCAAAGUUUCUUUACAUUGUAGCAUGUGUCAGUAUUUUAUUCUUUUGAUUUGGUCAAACAGUAUUCUAUUAUAUGGGUGUGCUGUUUGUUUAUCCAUUCACUCGUGAUGGACUUUUGGUUUGUUUCCAGUUUUGACUAUUAAGAAUAAUUCUUUGAUAGACAGAUUUUUGGGGUGGGCAGAUUCUUUCAUUUCUUUUGCAUAUAUACUUAGGAAUGGAGUUGCCACAUCAAAUAUAACUCCACAUUUAACUUUUUGAGUACUGUCAUAUUGUUUUUUCAAGUGACUAAACUACUUUAUAUUUCCAAAUGCAGCAUACAAAGGUUCUAUUUCCACAUUCUAACCAACAUUGUGUCUUUCUUUUUUAUUAUAGACAUUCUAGUGGAUAUUAACUGGCAUUCACUAUGGCUUUGAUUUAUAUUUUUCUUAAUGCCUAAUGAUGUUGAGAAUCUUUUGAUGUACUUGUUGACCAUUUAUCUUUUUUAAAGAAAAAGUUAUAUGGAUUAUUUUCCCUUUAAAAAUUGAGUUACUUAUCUUUUUAUUGAAUUGCUAACAUACUUCACAUAUGUUAGCUAUAAG
rnacentral:lncRNA from 1 species